AGGGCCGGCGACGUCACGGGUUGUUCGCGCUAUGUCAUGAAAGACGUGGGGCGGGCCUAAGAGGGAAAGGGGUUCAACGCCCCCGCUGCCCCCGCAACUGUGACCGGGAAGCAAUCCGGCCAAAUGCCACUGUGCUUGAAUCAGGCGCGGGAAGGCGGCAGGAAAGCGUUGAUCCGGGAGCCAGGAGACCUGCCAGUGACUGUCGUUCGGC
rnacentral:ncRNA from 2 species